rnacentral:rRNA from 1 species
UGGGGAAUAUUGCACAAUGGGCGCAAGCCUGAUGCAGCCAUCCCGCGUGUAUGAAGAAGGCCUUCGGGUUGUAAAGUACUUUCAGCGGGGAGGAAGGGAGUAAAGUUAAUACCUUUGCUCAUUGACGUUACCCGCAGAAGAAGCACCGGCUAACUCCGUGCCAGCAGCCGCGGUAAUACGGAGGGUGCAAGCGUUAAUCGGAAUUACUGGGCGUAAAGCGCACGCAGGCGGUUUGUUAAGUCAGAUGUGAAAUCCCCGGGCUCAACCUGGGAACUGCAUCUGAUACUGGCAAGCUUGAGUCUCGUAGAGGGGGGUAGAAUUCCAGGUGUAGCGGUGAAAUGCGUAGAGAUCUGGAGGAAUACCGGUGGCGAAGGCGGCCCCCUGGACGAAGACUGACGCUCAGGUGCGAAAGCGUGGGGAGCAAACAGG